GGGACGAACGCUGGCGGCGUGCCUAACACAUGCAAGUCGAACGGAGCCCGCAAGGGUUCAGUGGCGAACGGGUGCGUAACACGUGAGGAACUUGUCCAUCGGCGGGGGAUAGCCGGCCCAACGGCCGGGUAAUACCGCGUACGCCGUCCGGAGCGCAUGCUCUGGCCGGGAAAGCAGCAAUGCACCGAUGGAGAGCCUCGCGGCCUAUCAGCUAGUUGGUGGGGUAAUGGCCUACCAAGGCGACGACGGGUAGCUGGUCUGAGAGGAUGACCAGCCACAUUGGGACUGAGACACGGCCCAGACUCCUACGGGAGGCAGCAGUGGGGAAUAUUGCGCAAUGGGCGAAAGCCUGACGCAGCGACGCCGCGUGUGGGAUGACGGCCUUCGGGUUGUAACCGACUGUCGCGAGGGACGAAGAUCUGACGGUACCUCGAAGGAAGCACCGGCUAACUCUGUGCCAGCAGCGC
rnacentral:rRNA from 1 species